rnacentral:rRNA from 1 species
AGAGUUUGAUCAUGGCUCAGGACGAACGCUGGCGGCGUGCCUAAUACAUGCAAGUCGAGCGAGCUUGCCUAGAUGAUUUUGGUGCUUGCACUAAAUGAAACUAGAUACAAGCGAGCGGCGGACGGGUGAGUAACACGUGGGUAACCUGCCCAAGAGACUGGGAUAACACCUGGAAACAGAUGCUAAUACCGGAUAACAACACUAGACGCAUGUCUAGAGUUUGAAAGAUGGUUCUGCUAUCACUCUUGGAUGGACCUGCGGUGCAUUAGCUAGUUGGUAAGGUAACGGCUUACCAAGGCAAUGAUGCAUAGCUGAGUUGAGAGACUGAUCGGCCACAUUGGGACUGAGACACGGCCCAAACUCCUACGGGAGGCAGCAGUAGGGAAUCUUCCACAAUGGACGAAAGUCUGAUGGAGCAACGCCGCGUGAGUGAAGAAGGGUUUCGGCUCGUAAAGCUCUGUUGGUAGUGAAGAAAGAUAGAGGUAGUAACUGGCCUUUAUUUGACGGUAAUUACUUAGAAAGUCACGGCUAACUACGUGCCAGCAGCCGCGGUAAUACGUAGGUGGCAAGCGUUGUCCGGAUUUAUUGGGCGUAAAGCGAGUGCAGGCGGUUCAAUAAGUCUGAUGUGAAAGCCUUCGGCUCAACCGGAGAAUUGCAUCAGAAACUGUUGAACUUGAGUGCAGAAGAGGAGAGUGGAACUCCAUGUGUAGCGGUGGAAUGCGUAGAUAUAUGGAAGAACACCAGUGGCGAAGGCGGCUCUCUGGUCUGCAACUGACGCUGAGGCUCGAAAGCAUGGGUAGCGAACAGGAUUAGAUACCCUGGUAGUCCAUGCCGUAAACGAUGAGUGCUAAGUGUUGGGAGGUUUCCGCCUCUCAGUGCUGCAGCU